GUUCUGAUGGCCAGAUAUAGAAGAUUGGCACUCUCCUUGAUGAAGAUGGAAGAGGUUCUUGAAGCCUUUACAACACAUAUAUGGUUAAGGCAUUGUCACAUACUGUACAUCUAACCAGCGUGAUUU